GAUGAACGCUGGCGGCGUGCCUAAUACAUGCAAGUCGAGCGAACAGACGAGGAGCUUGCUCCUCUGACGUUAGCGGCGGACGGGUGAGUAACACGUGGAUAACCUACCUAUAAGACUGGGAUAACUUCGGGAAACCGGAGCUAAUACCGGAUAAUAUAUUGAACCGCAUGGUUCAAUAGUGAAAGACGGUUUUGCUGUCACUUAUAGAUGGAUCCGCGCCGCAUUAGCUAGUUGGUAAGGUAACGGCUUACCAAGGCAACGAUGCGUAGCCGACCUGAGAGGGUGAUCGGCCACACUGGAACUGAGACACGGUCCAGACUCCUACGGGAGGCAGCAGUAGGGCAUCUUCCGCAAUGGGCGAAAGCCUGACGGAGCAACGCCGCGUGGGUGAGGAAGGUCUUCGGAUCGUAAAACUCUGUUAUUAGGGAAGAACAAAUGUGUAAGUAACUAUGCACGUCUUGACGGUACCUAAUCAGAAAGCCACGGCUAACUACGUG
rnacentral:rRNA from 1 species